rnacentral:rRNA from 1 species
GACGAACGCUGGCGGCGUGCUUAACACAUGCAAGUCGAACGGAAAGGCCCUUCGGGGUACUCGAGUGGCGAACGGGUGAGUAACACGUGGGUGAUCUGCCCUGCACUUUGGGAUAAGCCUGGGAAACUGGGUCUAAUACCGAAUAGGACCACGCGCUUCAUGGUGUGUGGUGGAAAGCUUUUGCGGUGUGGGAUGGGCCCGCGGCCUAUCAGCUUGUUGGUGGGGUAAUGGCCUACCAAGGCGACGACGGGUAGCCGGCCUGAGAGGGUGACCGGCCACACUGGGACUGAGAUACGGCCCAGACUCCUACGGGAGGCAGCAAUGGGGAAUAUUGCACAAUGGGCGCAAGCCUGAUGCAGCGACGCCGCGUGAGGGAUGACGGCCUUCGGGUUGUAAACCUCUUUCACCAGGGACGAAGCGUAAGUGACGGUACCUGGAGAAGAAGCACCGGCCAACUACGUG